rnacentral:rRNA from 1 species
UGGGGAAUCUUCCGCAAUGGACGAAAGUCUGACGGAGCAACGCCGCGUGAGUGAUGACGGCCUUCGGGUUGUAAAGCUCUGUUAAUCGGGACGAAUGGUUCUUGUGCGAAUAGUGCGAGGAUUUGACGGUACCGGAAUAGAAAGCCACGGCUAACUACGUGCCAGCAGCCGCGGUAAUACGUAGGUGGCAAGCGUUGUCCGGAAUUAUUGGGCGUAAAGCGCGCGCAGGCGGAUUGGUCAGUCUGUCUUAAAAGUUCGGGGCUUAACCCCGUGAUGGGAUGGAAACUGCCAAUCUAGAGUAUCGGAGAGGAAAGUGGAAUUCCUAGUGUAGCAGUGAAAUGCGUAGAUAUUAGGAAGAACACCAGUGGCGAAGGCGACUUUCUGGACGAAAACUGACGCUGAGGCGCGAAAGCCAGGGGAGCGAACGGG